rnacentral:rRNA from 1 species
GUCCUUUUGAAUUUAAUUUAAGGUCUAACCUGCCCAAUGAAAGAUUUAAAUGGCCGCAGUAUUUUGACUGUGCAAAGGUAGCAUAAUCAUUAGUUUUUUAAUUGAAAGCUUGUAUGAAGGGUUGGACGAGAUAAAGACUGUCUUAAGUUAAUUUAAUUUAGAAUUUAAUUUUUAAGUUAAAAAGCUUAAAUUUUAUUAAAAGACGAGAAGACCCUAUAGAUCUUUAUAAUUAUUAUUUUAAUUAAAUUUUAGAAUUAUUUAUUAUUUAUUAUAUUAAUUAUUUUAUUGGGGUAAUAUAAAGAUUUAAUAAAUUCUUUAUUUAUUUAUACAUUAAUUUAUGAUUAUUUGAUCCAAUAUUAUUGAUUAUAAGAUUAAGUUACCUUAGGGAUAACAGCGUAAUUUUUUUAGAGAGUUCAUAUCGAUAAAAAAGUUUGCGACCUCGAUGUUGGAUUAAAAAUUAUCUUAGGUGCAGAAGUUUAAGAUUUUGGUCUGUUCGACCAUUAAAUUUUU